AUGGACAUUUAGCAUUCAACACUUUUUAAAAUAACCCGAUGUGCCCCAGGUGGCAUAGUUGUUGGGAAUACAAUGUACAAAACCAUGGAUGUUUUGGUCCCUGCCCAGAUGCAAAGUGCUAAGUGAGGGAAACAGACAAUAAGGACACAGGACUGUAAAAUAAGAGGAUAGCCUAUCAUGGGUCCUGAAUCACAGUGUUCCAUUGAUAGCAGAACAGAUACAGAAAAGGCUAGAGUCCAGGAAAGAGCCAGGCAGAUGGAGGAUAGCACUGGGAAGAGCACACACAAAUUCUUGGAGGUUGAAAAAACAAACAAACAAACAAACAACAACAACAAACCUUGAGAUGUUCCAAGAACAGUCAAGAAGCAAGAAUGAGGAAUCGGAACUGGUGGGGAAAAUGAGAAAUACUGACAUCACAGAGGAACCUCAGAACUGUUCUUGUCACAUGGGCAUGGCAACAAGUCUGGAUUUCUUCCUCAGUGAAAUGGAUAUCCAGUGAAGCAUUUUAAGGGAGCGGAGAGGACCUGAUGGGAUUUAUUACUUUAAAAGGUCACUCUGGCUGCAAUAUGAAGGGUAGAAAGGAGAGAACAGAAGUGCCAGCAAAGUAUCCGGUUAGGAGCCUAGUACCGUCACCCAGGGGAAGGCUGAUGGAGGCUCUGCCCAGGAAGGUGGCAGAGGGGAUGAGGGCAACCUGGACCAGGACUUACUGGUGGUCCAAAUUUGGGGUAAGAGACCGUUUCACCAAAUUUAAGGUUCUGCAAGGUCGGACCACCACCUUUUCCAGCCUCCAACCACAGAGACCCUCCUCUUCUGAGCUGAGAUGUUCGUGCCACACCUAGUCACAGAGGCCUACCAUCCCUGGCCUGAAGGAGCAUCAUCUUCAUCUUCCAGGUCGACUGUGUAGUCCAAGAUGAAAACAGAAAGAAGAAAACGAAGAGUUAACUCGGUAUUUUUUAAGUCAGAAAACCCCUCCACUCUUCAGAGUCAAGCAAACACAUGUUCUGGACUUCAACUAUGGAAACAUAGGUUAUUGUUAAAUGAGUUUUAAGAUUCUUUUCAAACACAAAAGACAUAUGAGGUAAAAAAAAAAAUGAUUAGAAGACUUGAAUUCUGUGUAGGCUUAAUGACUAUAAAAAGUAACCCCGCCUACUCUAGGAUUCCAUUUAUAUAAAACCCUAGAGUAGGCAAACUAACAUGUAUAGGCGCAGAAAGCAGAUCGGUGGUUACCUUGGGGAAGGCAGGAGGGCAGGGGUUAGAGGAAGAGAAGUCAAAGAGGCAGGAGGAAUCCUUGGGGAUGGAGAGGUUCCCUAUCUGGAUUGUAGUGAUGCUUUGCCAGUGAGUUUAUACAUCACAAUUUAUCAAAGCACACACUUUGAAUAUAGGCAGUUUGGCACAAAUCAUUCCUUAAUAAAGCUGUUUUAUUUUUUUUUAAUGUAAAUUUAUUUAUUUUAACUGGAGGCUAAUUACUUUACAACAUUGUCUUGGUUUUGCCAUACAUUGACAUGAAUCCGCCAUGGGUGUACACGUGUUCCCCAUCCUGAACCCCCCUCCCACCACCCUCCCCAUCCCAUCCCUAAAGCUGUUUUAAAAAAAAAAAAAAAAACAAAAUAAGAUGUCUGAACAAGGAGGAAGAUGUAACAAGAGUCAAGAAGUUCUAAGUUGAGGUCUAGUUUUCACCCUGGCGUAGUCCGCUUCCCAAUGCUUUCUGAGCUAGUAAUAUCUCCAGGAUGUGCUAAGCUUUGGUUCAUUCUCCCUGUCUGCCCAUCUGCCCAUGGAAGGUCUUUUUUGCUUUUUGGUUUUUUUUUUUUUUUAAUUAACUUUCAUUGUCAUAUAGCUGCUUUACAAUAUUGCGUUAGUUUCUACUGUACAGCAAAGUGAAUCCGCUGUAUGUACACAUUUAUCCCCUUGCUUUUGGAUUUCCUUCCCGUUCAGGCCACCACAGAGCACUGAGCAGAGUUCCCUGCGCUAUACAGCAUAAUCUCCUUAGUUAUCUAUUUUGUACUAGUAUCAGUGCACAAUAAAAUAGUUCUCCCUUUUUAUACGCAGUAGCAAUAGUGUUAGAAUAGUAGAGAAUAAGAUGCUUAGAUAGCAUCACCGACUCAAUGGACAUGAAUCUGAGCAAACUCUGAGAGACAGUAAAGGACAGGAGAGCCUGGCAUGCUGCAGCCCAUGGGGUCACGAAGAGUCAGACACGGCUUAGUGAAUGAGCAGCCACAGUCAGUCUUGUGUCUGUGUCAAUCCUAAUCUCCCUCCUCCUUCUGCACCUGCCUUCCCCCUUCGUAUCCAUGCAUCUGUCCUCUCUGUCUGUGUCUGUUUUUGCUUUCAAUCCCUAAGGAAGGCCUCAGUCUUGCCCUCUGACCUCAUCAUGUGUUUCUCUCCCUCUCGCUUACUACCUGCCAGACAUUCUGACUUUGAACCUAAAUCAUCUCCUUUGACCUUGGAGACUUUGUACUUCCUGCUCUCCUCUGCCUAGAAAGUCUUUCUGUUGGUUCGUUGCAUGGCUGGUCCCCCUCACUUUGGGAAUCGGCUUCAAUAUCCUUCUCUUCCAAGAGUCCUUACUUGAUUGCCCCAUCUCCAAAUCCCACUUACAUCCUGCAGAGCAUCGCACAUUCACAUGUUCAGUUUGCCUGUUUACUGUCCAUCUCUUACAGUGGGAUGCAAGUGAUAUCUCAUCAGGGAUCUCAUCCCAGUUCUUGUUCAUACACAUCCACUGCCAAGAAGAGGAUCUGAUGCAUGAAAAGUACUGGCUCAAUUGUUUCACUGUUGUUGAUGUUCAGUUGAUAAGUCGUGUCUGACUCAUUUUGACUCCACAGCCAAUCGUUAGUAUUCAACUUUUUUUGGUUAUGUAUCUG
ensembl:lincRNA